UACGAGGGGUGCAAGCGUUAAUCGGAAUUACUGGGCGUAAAGCGUUCGUAGGCGGUUUGUUAAGCAAGAUGUGAAAGCCCUGGGCUCAACCUGGGAACUGCAUUUUGAACUGGCAAGCUAGAAUACUGUAGAGGGUGGUGGAAUUUCCAGUGUAGCGGUGAAAUGCGUAGAGAUUGGAAGGAACAUCAGUGGCGAAGGCGGCCACCUGGACAGAUAUUGACGCUGAGGAACGAAAGCGUGGGGAGCGAACAGGAUUAGAUACCCUAGUAGUCC
rnacentral:rRNA from 1 species